UACGUAGGGUGCAAGCGUUUGUCCGGAAUCAUUGGGCGUAAAGCGCGCGUAGGUGGCUUCGUAAGUCCGUUGUGAAAGUCAAAGGCUCAACCUUUGAAUGCCGAUGGAUACUGCGAAGCUAGAGUACGGAAGAGGCGAGUGGAAUUCCUGGUGUAGCGGUGGAAUGCGCAGAUAUCAGGAGGAACACCAAUAGCGAAGGCAGCUCGCUGGGACGUUACUGACGCUAAGGCGCGAAAGCGUGGGGAGCGAACAGG
rnacentral:rRNA from 1 species